CUACGGGGGGCUCCAGUGGGGAAUCUUGCGCAAUGGACGAAAGUCUGACGCAGCCACGCCGCGUGAGUGAAGAAGGCCUUCGGGUUGUAAAGCUCUGUCGGGAGGGACGAACAAGCUUGGGGUUCACAGCCCCAGGCCCUGACGGUACCUCCAAAGGAAGCACCGGCUAACUUCGUGCCAGCAGCCGCGGUAAUACGAGGGGUGCAAGCGUUGCUCGGAAUCAUUGGGCGUAAAGGGUAGGUAGGUGGUCUCAUUUGUCUGGGGUGAAAUCCUUGGGCUUAACUCAAGAAGUGCCUCAGAAACGGUGAGACUGGAGUCCUGGAGAGGGUCGUGGAAUUCCCGGUGUAGCUGUGAAAUGCGUAGAGAUCGGGAGGAACACCAGAGGCGAAGGCGGCGACCUGGACAGGUACUGACACUCAACUACGAAAGCGUGGGGAGCAAACAGGAUUAGAUACCCUCGUAGUC
rnacentral:rRNA from 1 species